rnacentral:rRNA from 1 species
UACGAAGGGGGCUAGCGUUGCUCGGAAUUACUGGGCGUAAAGGGCGCGUAGGCGGAUGUUUAAGUCAGAGGUGAAAGCCCAGGGCUCAACCUUGGAACUGCCUUGAUACUGGGCAUCUUGAGUAUGGGAGAGGUGAGUGGAACUCCGAGUGUAGAGGUGAAAUUCGUAGAUAUUCGGAAGAACACCAGUGGCGAAGGCGACUCACUGGCCCAUUACUGACGCUGAGGCGCGAAAGCGUGGGGAGCAAACAGG